rnacentral:rRNA from 1 species
UGAUAUGAAGAACUUGUUCAGUAAUUUGAUUUUUCAACAUUGCAAUGAGUGGCGAACGGGUGAGUAACACGUGGAAACCUACCUCUUAGCAGGGGAUAACAUUUGGAAACAAAUGCUAAUACCGUAUAAUAAUUAAAACCGCAUGGUUUUAGUUUAAAAGAUGGUCUUGCUAUCACUAAGAGAUGGUCCCGCGGUGUAUUAGUUAGUUGGUGAGGUAAUGGCUCACCAAGACAAUGAUACAUAGCCGAGUUGAGAGACUGACCGGCCACAAUGGGACUGAGACACGGCCCAUACUCCUACGGGAGGCAGCAGUAGGGAAUCUUCCACAAUGGACGAAAGUCUGAUGGAGCAACGCCGCGUGUGUGAUGAAGGGUUUCGGCUCGUAAAACACUGUUGUAAGAGAAGAAUGACAUUGAGAGUAACUGUUCAAUGUGUGACGGUAUCUUACCAGAAAGGAACGGCUAAAUACGUG